AUGGCGGGGACGGUGGUGAGCAUGGCGAGGUCCAUGUUGGGGGGCGCCAUCAGCAUGGCUGCAUCCGCCGCCGCCACCGAGAUGAGCCUCCUCAUGGGCGUCCGCAAGGACAUCUGGUUCAUAAAAGACGAGCUCAAGACGAUGCAGGCAUUCCUUGUGGCUGCUGAGAAAACAAAGAACAAAGACUUGCUACUGAAGGUGUGGGCAGAGCAAGUAAGAGAUCUAGCAUAUGGCAUCGAGGAUUGCCUUGAUGAGUUUAUGGUGCAUGUGGGAAGUCAGAGCCGGUCUCGACGGCUGCUUAAGCUGAAAGACCGCCACCGGAUUGCCAGCCAAAUUCGUGAUCUCAAAGCAAGAGUAGAAGAGGUGAGCAACAGGAACACACGCUACAACUUGAUCACCGUUGAUGCCUCCAGUAGCAUUGAUGAGGUGAAUUCCUACACGGAAGAUAUUCGCAACCACUCAGCUAGCAACAUUGAUGAGGCAGAGCUUGUGGGUUUUGCUAAGUCUAAACAAGAGUUGAUUGAGAUGGUGGAUGUCAACUCCAGAGAUGGUCUUUGCAAGAUGAUAUGUCUCGUUGGCAUGGGCGGUUUAGGCAAGACUACUCUUGCAAGGAAGGCAUAUGAAAGUAAGCAAGAUAUCGUGAAUAAAUUUUCUUGUUGUGCAUGGGUCACCGUCUCACAGUCCUUUUCCAAGAUAGAGAUGCUAAAGGACAUGCUUAGGCAACUUUUGGGUACCAACUCGCUGAGGAAAUGCUUGAAAGAUCUCGAAGGGAAGUCGGUGCAGGUAGAUGAUCUCGGCAUGUACCUCAGGAAAGAGCUAGAGCAGAAGAGGUACUUUGUUGUUCUUGAUGAUUUGUGGACCAUAGAUUCGUGCCAAUGGAUCAAAGAUAUUGCUUUUCCUAGUAGAAACAACGAAGGCAGCCGAAUAAUAGUAACAACACGAGAUGCUGGCUUGGCUGAGCAAUGCACUUCUGAAUCGCUUAUCUACCAUCUUAAGCACUUGCAAGCAGAGGAUGCCACAGAUUUGCUACUAAGAAAGAGUAGAAAAACAAAAGAAGACAUGAAAAAUGAUAAGGAAAUGACGACCGUGGUCAACAAAAUAGUAAAGAAGUGUGGGGGUCUACCGUUGGCUGUACUCACUAUAGGAGGCAUGCUUUCCACCAAAAAGGUUACAGAGUGGGAAAGUAUCUAUAAUCAAAUCCCCUCAGAGCUCGAGAUCAACCCUAGCCUUGAAGCAAUGAGGAGGAUAGUUAUUCUAAGCUACAAUCACUUGCCAUCUCAUCUCAAGUCAUGCUUUUUGUAUCUAAGCAUCUUUCCUGAGGAUUUUGAGAUCAAAAGGAGACGUCUGAUAGAGAGAUGGAUAGUAGAGGGGUUUGUUAGAGCCACGGCUGGGGUGAGGAUUGAGGAUGUGGGAAAAGGUUACUUUGAUGAGCUAGUCAACCGAAGCAUGAUUCAGCCAUCAAGAAGGAACAUAGAAGGAAUUGUUAAGAGCUGUCAUGUCCACGAUAUCAUGCGUGAUGUCAUGGUCUCAAUUUCCCAACAUGAAAGUCUCGUGUACUUGGCACAAGAUAAUGUAACUAGUGUCACAGAGGAGACCUUCCGACAUGUAGCAUACCAUGGUGGCAUGUGCCCAAAGAUAGUUAUGGAUUGGAGCCACGUCCGGUCAGUAACUGUGUUUGGUGAGAGAUCAUUGGGUCCAUCACCUUCAGUUUGUUCACCUGACAUGAGAAUGCUCCGGGCCUUGGAUCUAGAGAAUGCACAGUUUCAAGUCACACAAAAGGAUAUCAGCAACAUAGGAUUGUUCCGCCACUUGAAGUAUCUGAAUUUUUCUCAACCUCGAGGAUUUUCACAUAUUUAUAAACUUCCUAGAUCCAUAGGGAGAUUACAAGGCUUGCGCACCUUGAACAUUAGAGACAGUUAUAUUACAAAACUGCCAAUUGAGAUUUGUAAACUCAAGAGUCUACAGAGUCUCCGUUGUACCAGAAAUUAUUCCUAUUUAUACUUUGACAUGUAUAGCCCCAAAGAAUGCUUGGUGCAAACACUUUGUCUGUCCAUGCUGUUCACACCUUUGACUGAUCCUAGUGAUUGUACCGAGAAAGUUGCUGAGCUACACAUGGCUACAGAAGGGGCCACCAAGCAGAAAUGCAGGGUACUCUGUGAUGCCAUUCAGAAGCUCACUUGCCUCCGCUCCCUUUCAGUGGAUGGUUCACUCGAGUGGCUACAUGUUGUCUCCUCUCCUCCUCCCCUGUUGAGGAGUCUGAAGUUGGAUGGAUCCCUUGGAGAGCUUCCUGGUUGGGUUGGCAAUCUGAUGCAUUUGGUCAAGCUUUACAUAAUGGGCUGCAAAAUAAAGGAAGAAGGUAAAAUCAUGGAAAUCCUAGGGCCACUUCCCAACCUCAUGCACCUUCGCCUUGGAAGUGACUCUUAUAUUGGGGAGAAGUUGGCGUUCAAAAGGGGAGCAUUCCCAAAUCUCAAGAAGCUUGGUAUUUAUGAUCUGUCGGGACUGAGAGAGUUGAAAUUUGAGGAUGGCACCACACAGAGAAUUUAUAACCUGUACUUUUCAGCUUGGAAUAACGUGAUACAUUUGCUGACGAAAAACACUGAUGCAUGCUCUGUUAAUGCAUUUUAG
rnacentral:rRNA from 1 species